rnacentral:rRNA from 1 species
CCUACGGGUGGCACCAGUGGGGAAUUUUGGACAAUGGGCGAAAGCCUGAUCCAGCAAUGCCGCGUGUGUGAAGAAGGCCUUCGGGUUGUAAAGCACUUUUGUCCGGAAAGAAAUCCUUGGCUCUAAUACAGUCGGGGGAUGACGGUACCGGAAGAAUAAGCACCGGCUAACUACGUGCCAGCAGCCGCGGUAAUACGUAGGGUGCAAGCGUUAAUCGGAAUUACUGGGCGUAAAGCGUGCGCAGGCGGUUUGCUAAGACCGAUGUGAAAUCCCCGGGCUCAACCUGGGAACUGCAUUGGUGACUGGCAGGCUAGAGUAUGGCAGAGGGGGGUAGAAUUCCACGUGUAGCAGUGAAAUGCGUAGAGAUGUGGAGGAAUACCGAUGGCGAAGGCAGCCCCCUGGGCCAAUACUGACGCUCAUGCACGAAAGCGUGGGGAGCAAACAGGAUUAGAUACCCUUGUAGUC